rnacentral:rRNA from 1 species
UACGUAGGGAGCAAGCGUUGUCCGGAAUCAUUGGGCGUAAAGCGCGCGUAGGUGGCCUCAUAAGUCCGUUGUGAAAGUCAAAGGCUCAACCUUUGAAAGCCGAUGGAUACUGUGAGACUAGAGUACGGAAGAGGCGAGUGGAAUUCCUGGUGUAGCGGUGGAAUGCGCAGAUAUCAGGAGGAACACCAAUAGCGAAGGCAGCUCACUGGGACGGUAUUGACGCUGAGACGCGAAAGCGUGGGGAGCAAACAGG